rnacentral:rRNA from 1 species
AUUGAACGCUGGCGGCAUGCCUUACACAUGCAAGUCGAACGGCAGCACGGGAGCAAUCCUGGUGGCGAGUGGCGAACGGGUGAGUAAUAUAUCGGAACGUGCCCAGUCGUGGGGGAUAACGUAGCGAAAGCUACGCUAAUACCGCAUACGAUCUACGGAUGAAAGCGGGGGAUCGCAAGACCUCGCGCGAUUGGAGCGGCCGAUAUCAGAUUAGGUAGUUGGUGAGGUAAAGGCUCACCAAGCCGACGAUCUGUAGCUGGUCUGAGAGGACGACCAGCCACACUGGGACUGAGACACGGCCCCAGACUCCUACGGGAGGCAGCAGUGGGGAAUUUUGGACAAUGGGCGCAAGCCUGAUCCAGCAAUGCCGCGUGCAGGAUGAAGGCCUUCGGGUUGUAAACUGCUUUGUACGGAACGAAACGGUGAGCUCUAAUACAGUUUGCUAAUGACGGUACCGUAAGAAUAAGCACCGGCUAACUACGUG